rnacentral:lncRNA from 1 species
UGGGUCGCCUGCUGGCUCGGGUGGAAACCCUUGAUCACCACCCUAUCUGAAUCUGUAUUUUGGAAAAGCUUAUCAUGCUUACUCUACUAUGUAUUUAGUCGAACCCUGCUUAAUCUUGCCGUGUGGCAUAGCCCCGACCCACUACCCUCGCCAAACAUGGCCAAUAUGGUGUGUGUAAUGUUAGGUCAAAAUCCUUUUUAUUUAAGUGUAUAUUUGUUUGCCUUAAAGAGGAGUGUAUUGUCCUUUUCGGUUUGUGAUGCGUAUGAAAUAAACAAAAUUGUUUGUGUUUGGCACUUCAUGCCUUUUGACGGUCAGUUUCUUGAUCAUGAUCCAAAGAAGCUUUCUUGGUCAGUUUAUCUCACAUCUAAUUAAAUGGCUCCCAAAUAGCUAUUGCUACUAGGACGAUUCUUCGGACUACAUAUCACUCAAUUUCAAUUUUCAUCUGAGUGAGUUUGGAGCCUACGAAUUCAGAUGAUUUUUCGCGAGAGUAGUCCUCUUUUUCUUAGGUGGUGAUGAAACCAUCCCUUCGUAGGAAUCAGGGCCACCGGUUUCGAGAAUUUUAGCAUCACAAUUCACACACGAAGUCUCGCUGCCCUCCCUUCCUUGGUGGUCAGCCCAUAUAGAAUUUUUCAUGGCCCAUAAAAGGACUUUCGAACUCCUCGAGGGUUGGGUUCGAGCAUAGGAUGUUUCCAUGGCCCAAAUCUUCCCGUUAGCAACCUUCUUCUGUCAGUAGCUUCUCCUCUCGCGUUAAUAGCACAACCAUCAGUUGUUGAUAGCAGGUCAAGUACCAUCACUCUGUUAAUAGCAGGUCAAGCAGUGUGACGGAAACGCACGAAAUAAAAAGUCCCCAACAUGGCCGCGUGCACCCGUGUCAAGUCUCCUCCCGUCGAGAUCACGAGACUCCGCGUGAGACCGAUCCGCGCUCAUGGCCGGUGCUGACAAAUCGCGGUAGCUUGGCGUGAUCAAAAGCACCAGGUACGGUUACUGAUGCAUGCGAUACGAUUUGCCAGAUCGCUCACGGCCGUGCACUAGUUUUCUACCCUCCCGUGCCUCUCGUCAUAUUGUCCUUCCGCGCGUCGAGGCCUUUCGUUUCUCACCGCCAGCGGCCGCUGACGCGGUGCGUGUGCUUGUGUUUUCUUCUCUGCCUGCAGGUCGUUACCAACUUGGAAACCGCCAGCGAUCAUUGACAACGACUCCGAGGGUCGAACGCGUGAGCUCGUAAUAACAGGCAGGACGCUGAAUGCUCACCCUCAUCAGCCUCAGCCACACCGUUUGAAUCUUUCAACCAUCCGUGUGGAUUGCUAACGCUAAUUGUUGUCAUCGAUGGACAUGUUUUAAAAGCGAAAACAACGUGAAACCAAGCAGGAUCGGAGGAGUUGCCCCGGUCAGUUACGCUUGCGCGUGGGGGUGCGUGCCCUCUGACCACCCUGGCCCCAGCGGCAGCCACCCAACGAGCCAAAGGCCAUGUCAUUCCGUCAACAUCCGCCGCACCAUUUUCCUCUCCAACUCCCCCUACCCAAAAGCCCACGAACUUUCCCAGGCUCCUUCCGCACACCCAACACGCGGCCAAGCACCCGGCGGCACCCCUACAAAUACGCCCCCGCCCACCACGUUCCCGAUCGAAAACCAUCAAACCCCACCGUGCCCAUCCCCCGAAAACCCCACAAACCACCGAGCCCCAGAACGAUAUCCUCCGAUCCCCCAAACCACCGCCUCCCAGUCUCAACCAUGGCGUUCCGGCUGAGCAACAACCUGAUCGGGAUCCUGAACGCGGUGACCUUCCUUCUCUCCAUCCCGAUCCUGGGCGCGGGCAUUUGGCUGGGCCACCGCGCCGACGGCACCGAGUGCGAGCGCUACCUCUCGGCGCCCGUAAUCGCGCUGGGGGUCUUCCUCCUCGUCGUCUCCAUCGCGGGGCUCGUCGGCGCCUGCUGCCGCGUCACCUGGCUGCUCUGGGUCUACCUCCUCGCCAUGUUCGUCCUCAUCGUCGCCCUCUUCUGCUUCACCGUCUUCGCCUUCGUCGUCACCAACCGGGGCGCCGGGGAGGCCGUGUCGGGCCGGGGGUACAAGGAGUACAGGCUUGGGGACUACUCCAACUGGCUGCAGAAGCGGGUGGAGAACAACAAGAACUGGAACAGGAUCAGGAGCUGCCUCCAGGGCUCCAAGGUCUGCAAGAACCUGCAGGACAAGAAGGAGUCGGUCACCGACUUCAUGCGUUCCGACCUCUCCCCGAUCGAGGUACUUGCUUAAUUACGUGAAAAAUGCAUUUUUCUUCCCUUAAUCUUCAGUCUCAGUUUUUUUUUUGACAAAUCACCAAGACAGAUUCUAAAACAAACUCUAUCUAUCUGUAGCCGGCGUUUUGUCUUACAGAAAAAGAAUACUUCUUUUUCAUUCACGUGUCAUUCAUACUUUAGUGGUCGCGAAUUGCGAUGUGACUUUGGGAGGAUAGUAGUAAUGCCAAAAGACUUUGAAGAAACGGUAGCUUGUGAAACGCAAAACCUUAUCUUAGGCCCGGCUGAUGGUUACUUGUACGGUUGUGCAUCUCGAUCAGACGUACACAAUUUGGAAUUCUGUCUAAAAAUGCAUUGGGCUUAGCGUUGAUAUUGUCAACGGAUUACUCCUAUUUUAUAGUGACAUAUCUUCGGUCCAUAUCAACCUUUACUACCUGCUCUGAAGUCUGAACUGCUCCCGAUGCUCUGACCGCUGCAUUAUUGAAGGAAGAAUUUUCGUUCAUCGCACAUGCUUGCAUUUCAACGCUCUGGUGCACUUGCACUCAACUUUUAGGUCGCGUAACCCAAUCGUUUCACGAAACGGCUCCACCUGAAACUAUCAUAGGGGGUGUUUGGAUGCGAGGUACUAAACUUUAGGAGAGGUCACAUCGGAUGUUCGGACGCUAAUUAGAAGGACUAAACAUGAGUUAAUUAUAAAACUAACUGCAGAACCCCUAUACUAAUUCGCGAGACGAAUCUAUUAAACAUAAUUAAUCCAUCAUUAGCAAAUGGUUACUGUAGCACCACAUGGACUAAUUAGGCUUAAUAGAUUCGUCUCGCAAAUUAUACUCCAUCUGUGCAAUUAGUUUUGUAAUUAGCUUAUGUUUAAUACUCCUAAUUAGUAUCAAACAUCCGAUGUGAUAGGUACUAAAGUUUAUGAGGGAGUUGCCAAACACCCCCAUAAACAACUGAAACUGUUUUAUUUACUUGUAGUAUUUACCUAAACAACGUCAUGUGAUGUUGAAAGUUCCCAGUCAUGAGUAUUGAGUAGUAGCCCUGCAUAUGUGCUGCUCUGUUUCAAAGGCUCAUCGCUGUUCUUGUUGCUCGUGCAGUCUGGGUGCUGCAAGCCCCCCACCAGCUGCGGCUUCACCUACGUCAGCGGCACGGACUGGACCAAGACCACCGCCACCAACUCGUCGUCGGAUCCGGACUGCAACACCUGGAGCAACGAUGCGCUCUGCUACGACUGCCAGUCGUGCAAGGCCGGCGUGGUGGCCACCGUCAAGCGGGACUGGAAGCGCACCGCCAUCGUCUGCAUCGUCUUCCUCGUCUUCAUCAUCAUCGUCUACUCCAUCGGAUGCUGCGCUUUCAGGAAUAACCGCAGGGACAAUGCCUACCACGGCGGCUGGAAGGGCGGGUACGCCUGAUCUGGUCGAUCCACCGUCGUUUCGGAGCCUAGCAGACGAGAUCCGCUGCUCGAUUGGUCGAGCGUGCCAGCUCAGUGCUCUGCUCUCGCUGUCCUGCGGUCGCUUUCGUCCUAUAUGUUUAGGCUUCAUCUAGCUCUGUACAGUCGAGGUUGUUACAGCUUCUUAUCGUCUGCUAGUCACUUUGUUAUGAUCUGAUCACUGGUCAGCAGUAGGUUUUGUACAUGCUGUUCGUUGAUUUUGAUAUACUGCUCUAUAUUCGUAUGUGGAUGCCUUUAUUCUACAUGUUACUUUGGUGAAGGCUUUUCGGUUUUCCACUUUCUUUCCAAAACUUCUUCGCUUGACACGAAACAACGAGAUCUUUGCUUGACACGGCAGAGGAUUAGCUAGUCCCAUUUUUUUAAGAGAGAGAGAGAGAGAGAGAGAGAGAGAGAGAGAGAGAGAGGAUUAGCUAGCUAAUUUCUACUCUUUCCAGCGAUCUCUGUCAAUCUUUACUCUGUUUUCUUGCCAUGAUAUCACCAACCUGAAGUUGUUGAGCUAAUCACCAUUUCGGACGGGUUGCACAAAACUAUUGCACUUAUCCCCGUCCUGCACUGCACACAAAGUAGCACACGGUUCUGCUACUGACCGUCCCCGAUGAAGUAAUCCAAGAAAGGGUGGGAGACGAAGGCUCCAAGUCUUGAGCCAUGACGAAGCGAUAGGAAAGCUGUGGUGCCCCAUGAGAGGCAAGUGCAGCCUAACGUGCCGUCUGAAAAUAUCCACCCCUUCCCACUUUCACUGCCCAGGUUCCGAAAACAACUCCGGGCACCACCAUCUUGCUUUGUCGUCUUCGGUGUACGAUUCUUUCCUAUCAACCUAAUGGUCAUGCUUAACACGGGACUAUGUCCUUGGCAUCUUCCUUGUCAGAUGAGAAAUAUCUUAGCGAUGGCAGCAGAUAUUAGACAGUGAUAGAUCGAUGGAUGGUCCAGCCAAUGAAGGCUCGGCAGAUUGUUACGGGCACCAAUAUCAGGUUCCAAAAGGAUGCUAAAACUUGAAUGGAUCGAGAAAGGUGUAACUUCAGUGGAGUCCAUGAGCACAUGGGCUGAUGACUUGAUGUAGGCGCAAAUGUGUAAAUCCGUAAAUGCGCUUGCUGUUCCUAGUGGAGUUACUGGUUCCAGAAGUGGUGGUGACUAUUGCUGGUUCGCCUGGAAAUAUCCAAGGGGACUGACUGGGGCCAGCGGCUUGGUCCUUUCAGAGAAUGAAGUGAUAGAGCCGGCAUUAUAUUGCUCGAUGGACUAUUUCACUAGAAAAUGCUCUAUGAAAUGAAUUUGAGAGGAACUUUGCCCACCCAAAUUUCUUAUUUUGUUUUUCCUUGCAAUACUCUUCUAUAAGUAUUGUAAACUAGAGAAGACUUGCAGGUUGUGCAUUGGACUGUUACCGCAACAGGGCAGCUAGAUAGCUUAAAGCCUUAAACAUAGCUAAUUUUCAAUCGCUUUUCAAAGGUUAUAUGUUAACGUGAAACAUUCAACUACCAUUAGUACAACUUAAACACGACAUUCUCCAGUGUAUUAUAAAAAAACCCAGCAUGUUUGAGUAUUUUCAUUGAUCGCGUUCUUAGAUAACAACGGUUCAGAAAGGUUAGUUUGUACUGUGUGAUUCGGCAUAAAAAAAAGAUUAGUUUGGCACUCUAAUCUUACACAAACAAUCUGCAUUUUAGGUCCAUUUACGUUUGGAGUUGCUAGAAUUGGUAGUCAUUAUAUUGCUUUUUUGCAUCUCAGCUUUACAUAACGGCACGGCAUACAAAUCCGACAAUUGAGGCCAAUGAUUUGAUUUCUCAGAAAAUAAAGUGAGAGAUGUGGCAUUAUAUUGUUUGACGGAACAUUCUCUAGGAAAUGUUCUAUGACACCAUUAUUUUUUUUAAAAAAAAAUCUUGCCAACACAUGAUGCUUUGCCUUUUUUUACUGCAAUACUCUUCCAAAAAUCAUGAUUAGCUAGAAGAAGACUUGCAGGUUGUGCAUUGGACUAUUUUUUGGUAAUAGGAUAGUUGAAUAGUAUGGAAGCAGAUCAUUUUUAAUUCCUUUGGAAAGCUUGACACUAGCAUGAAACAUUGCAACUAUCGCUAGCAUGCCUAAAAUGAAAUGCAGUUCUCCAGUCUAUUCUUGAAAAAUAAAAUUAGUAUUAUGCAGAUAGAAAAGGAUAAAGAAAAAGAAAAUCAGCAUGUCUGAGUAUUAGCAUUACCAUUGUCAGAAACAGCGAGUCUGAAAGAUGGUAAAACUUGAAUGAACUGAGAAUGGUGUAACUUCAAUGGAAUCCAUGAGCACAUGGGCUGAUGACUUGAUUAGGCCCACAUAUGUUAAUCAGUAAACGCGAUUGCUGUUACUAGUGGAGUUACUGACUCCAGAAGUGGUGGUGACUGUUGCUGGUUCGCUUGGAAAUAUCCAAGGUGACUGGGACGGGACCGACGGUUUGGUCUUUUCAGAAAUGAAGUGACAGAGCUGGCAUUAUAUUGCUCGAUGGAAUAUUUCACUAGAAAAUGCUCUAUGACAUCAGUUUGAGAGGAACUUUACCUGCACAAAAUUUUUCUUUUGUGUUCGCUUUGCCAUACUUUUCUACUAUUAUUGUAAACUAGAAAGACCUGUAGUAGAAGGUUGUGCAUUGGACUGUUUCAGCAACAGGCCAGCUAGGUAGCUUAAGCAUAGCCAAUUGUCAAUCCUUUUUUCUUUUUUGAGCAAGCCAAUUGUCAAUUCUUCCUAAGAUUAGCGACUACUAGUAUACACCUACCAUUAGUAUGCCCAAAAGGAUACACUGCUCAGCAUAUUAGUAUGUCUGAAACAAUACACAUGAAACAUUUAGCGACUACUAGCAUGUCUCAAUAUUUCCAUUGAUCAGCGUUAAGAUAAUAAUGGUUCUGAAAUCUUUUGUGGUGUUGCACUCUACUCUUACACAGAUAUAACAUGCAUCUUCGAUUCGUUGGUGUUUGCAGUGACUAGAAGCGAGUCUGUCCCCUCACACUUUGCAUCAUCUGCUUUGCUAACAGCAUGGCAUACGAUCUGAGAAAUGAGACGAAUUUGUUUGAUUUUUUAGAAAGCGAAGCGAGGGGACCGGCACUAUAUUGUUUGAUGGAACGUUCCACUAGGAAAUGUUCUAUGACGUCAAUAUUUUAAAAAAACUUUGCCAAGAAACAAUGCUUUGUUUUUAAAAUACUGAAAUUACUCUUGAAAAAGUCAUUAUUAACUAGGGAAGACUUGCAACCUUGCAGGUGAUGCCUUGGACCAUUUUUGGUAAAUGAAAAUAUACCUCAAAUCUUAAUUCCUUUGGAAAGCUUUACACUGACAUGAAACAUCGCAACUAUCGCUAGCAUAUCUAAAAUGAUAUGCCGUUCUCCGGUGUAUCUUGAAGAAUAGAAUUAGCCUUACGUGAAAAGAAAAAAAAAGGAAAAAUGUAUUCAACGUGUCUGAUUAUUACUAUUACCGUUGUCAGGCUCAGGCAACAAUGGUUCUGAAAGAUUGGUCCGAGGCUCUAUCGAAACACCGAUACAGUCUGAAUCUACACCUCCUUUGGAACCACUAGAAUGGAUUGCCAGACUCUCGCUCUUCGCGUCAUCUGCUUUGCCCCACAGCACCACAUACAAGCCGACAAUGAUAGUGAUAGCUCCUAAUACGCUGCACGAAACAAAGUUCACUGUGAAGACGCACAAGAACAGCGAUUAUCUACUUUCCAAACAGGGUGCUAGUAUCAGAAUGAAGCAUACCUUCCAAUAUGGAGUUCUUCAUGCAGGAAGAGUGUAGAUAACAUUGCUGUGAUCACUGCACUCAGGGGCGUAAAGAUUGCGCUGUAAAGGGGGCCUUUCACUGAUAUGCACCAGGAUUGGAUGAAAAAGUUUGCGCCGGAGGCAAAUACUCCCUGCAAAAAUUGUUCGAUAAUUUCGAUUGAUGAGUAGCAAUUCAAAGUUUCAAACCAGUGUGUAGACGAACGAUCAAGAAUGGAUUCGGCUGAACUUACUCCAUAUAAGAUGCAGGGGAACUCCCAGAACGAGGUGAGCUUCCAAAUUUGCAAGUAGUUUGGCUCCAGGAAGAAGGCCAUCACCGCGCACUGCAAGGUCGCUAAAAAGCACAUCCAGGUCGCCAGAGACAGGGGAUCAAGGUACUUUUUGCAGACGGGCACCUAAAACCACACCAUCACUUGAUCAGUCACCUUAAACCCCAGCAAUAGCGCGUUGAAUCUUGCCGAUGCAGGGCGAUUGCAAGCAUCGCUGCAAUUAGUUACCUGGAAGAUGUACCAGAUGGCGACGCAGACAGCAUUUCCGACGAGAUAAACCCCUCCUUUCACCCAGUCGCUAGUCGGCGAGAGAAGAACCGCGCCGAGGAGCUUGGGACCCUUGAAGAACGCCAUGAACAUUGCUCCGGCGAGGCAGAUGGCGGUGCCGACGAUCUUGGCGACGCUUCUCAGGUUUCUGAUAUCCACCUUCUCUAACCUGUGAACCGAAUCGAAGGCGGGAGUAAGAAUUUGGGCCGCUGCUGCCUGCUGGGCGAGGUCACAAUUCUAAUUUCGAAUUUCGAAUUUUUUUAUUUUAUAUAUAUUUUUUUACAAAUUUGCAUAAAUAUACAGUCGAAUCAAAAAUUUGCAAAAAUGGGUAUCGCCAGAUGAGAUGGCAGUAGCGCCGCCCCCCUGCUGCAGGCUUGCUUCCACCCAUUUUGGACCGCGUGCCACCCAUUUUGCAUGUGGUGGUUCCUGCCACCCAUCAUUUCGGGCCCUAUGCUCCCUAUCACCGGUGGUGGUUCUCGCCCUGACGGUGGUCCAAUUGAUUACUGCAACAGCUAUUGAUAGGUCCAGCUUCGUGCAAGUAGCAGCACAGUGCAGCAUGCAUGCAUGAAAAGGCACGACCAGGGCAGCGGAAACCCAUUUUGCAAGGUGCUGGUGGUGUUGCAGGCUCUUUUUGGACCGCGUAAUGCGGAAUAUGUUGUUUCACUCGUUUGGAGCUGCGCAAGGUGGGUGAAGCCCUACCGCCGUUUCAAACGGCGGUAAUAAGGGUCCCACCGUCGUUUCAGCCGACAUACACCUAUUUUUGCAAAUUUUUUAUUCGACUAUAUAUUUGUGCAAAUUUGUAAAAAAAAUAUAAAAUAAAAAAAAUUCUAGAAUUUCUAAAUGGGCUGUUCUUGACGACAUUUAUUAAUUGGAGGUCUCUUGGCCCACGAAACAAAUAAGCCCAUAUGAAAGAAUUUAGCCUGGCCCAGUAGUCCCCCAAAACGCGAAGUGGUGGGCCCAACUUUCCGGUCAGAAAAGGGAAAAACACCUCUCAAAAAAAGAAAAGGGAAAAAACAAAAAUAAAAUAGAAAGGAAAAAAAACUGUACACGUACCCGAUGACGGCGGCGAUGGCGAAGGUGAUGCCGGGGGCGAGGUUGGUGGUGGCCCUGGCCAUGGACGGAGACGCCAGGAGCAGCCCCUCGAGGUAGAAGUACUGCCCAGUCGCGCUGUCCGAUCGAGUCAGAGAGAGUGAACCCAAACUGUACUUAUCUGGCCGGAGAGAACAGGGGAGGACGAGGAGCUUUGGCUUUGCGUACUGACGUGGCUAGGGAUGCCGCGAAGAUGAGCCCGAAGGCCCGCGCGCCGACGGCCAUGGGCCGCAGCGUGCAGCCCCUGGCGGCGAAGGAGGCGAGGAGGAGCGUGGCAGCGGCGAUCCCCUGGCGGUAGGUGACGAAGACGAUGGGCCGCAUCCCCACCCGGGACGCCGUCUUGAGCGCCACGUCCACCAGCGCGUAGAACAGCUGCACCAGCACCAUCCCCACGCUCGGUCCGUAACGCUCCAGCCACGGACCGCCGCCCGCCAUGGCUGGCUAGAUCGAGGGAGAGAGGUGGGAGCGAGAUUAUUGGGGCCUCACUUCGCCAGCUAUGUAGGAGCAUCCAUGUGCGCGCGCCGGCCGGGCGCAGCCGAGCUGAGUCAGCUGCGCCGUCAUCACUCUUUGCGUUUUUGUUUAUGGUUUGGGCAAUUGUUUUCCGUGGUCAACUCAAACCAAUCCUUUGAGAUAGAAGAAUUCGUGGUUAUGCAAAUUAAGUAACUUAUCGAGAUGCAGUUCUAUAUGCAUGUACGGGCCAUGCCCUGCUGCUCAUCGUGAAAUUACCUACUGGUGCUAAACUUUAGCAGUGUCACAUCGGAUGUUCGGAGACUAAUUAGAAGGACUAAACAUGAGCUAAUUCUAAAACUAAUUGCAGAACCCCGAGCUAAUUCGCGAGAUGAAUCUAUUAAACCUAAUUAAUUUAUCAUUAGCAAAUGGUUACUGUAGCACCACAUUGUCAAAUCAUAAACUAAUUAGGUUUAAUAGAUUCGUCUCGCAAAUUAGACUCGAUCUGUAUAAUUAAUUUUAUAAUUAACUUAUAUUUAAUACAUCAAAUAUGGCACCCAGACACCCCUAAGCAAACUUCGAUUUCUCUUCUUCUACUUGGAUCCCGUCGCCAUUUUGCAGGUUAGCAUCUCCACCACAUGUGCGCACAGCGUACCUGUCGCGCAUCCAACCCUUCAGUUUAUUGCCGCCAAAUCAUAUCAGGCAGCAACUUGCAGCAGCAGGAGCAGCAGCAAUUUUCAUGGCAAAGAAAGACUGCAGAGCUGAAAGGGAUCCUCUGUUCCUCUAUCAGCUGGGUGCUUGUGAGCGUGCGGCGCCUGCCAGGAGAGGCGCAGCGAGAGUGUGCUCCACGUCGAGCUGAGCGUCAGACCGCGCGGUCCCGUCCGUCGAGUCUUUGCUCUGGUCCGGCCCCCUCCCCUUCCUCGCGUCCUCUGCUUUGCCCCACAGCACGACGUACAGGCCGGCGACGACAGCGACGGCGCCUACCAAGCUGGAUAAAGAAACAAAAAUGAUGUCACUCUCCUUAUCAGUCUCUGAUGAUGCAAAUGCAAACGGCGCCUGCUCGGUGCUCGCUCGGGGUGGGCAUCAGAGAACUGAAGUCAUAUUCAGGUCUCUCUUUCAGAGAAGGGACGUGCCUUCCGAUGUGCAGCUCUUCGUGGAGGACGACGGCGGAGAGCGCGGUGGUGACCACGGUGCAGAGCGGGGUGAACAUGGCCGAGUAGAGGGGGCCCCUCACCGAGAUGCACCACGACUGCAGGUAGAACACCACGCCUGACCCGAACACGCCCUGCAUAAUCCCAUCGGGUGCGACAUGACCCCGUCAGCCAAGACCUCAGAUUGCUUCUCCGUCUUCUAGUUUCUCAAGGAAGCUGCGUGUGUACUCACGGCAAAGAUGUAGCAUGAGAGCUCGAAGAGGGAGUGGAUCUUCCACGAGCUACGGUUCGGUAGCAGGAAGAAGGUGACCGCCGCGGAUUGCAGCGUGGACAGGAAGCAGGUCCAGGCCGAUAGGGUCAGAGGAUCCAUGUACGAUCUGCAGAUGGGCGCCUGAAAUCCAAAAAUGAGCUGCCUAUGAGAUUGUGCUGCCACUUAAUUUAAGUAGAGAAUGCAGUGGUGGUUGAUCACUAAUUCAAGAUCCUCUUUGAUACCUGGUUAAGUUUAGAUGGCUAAAUUUAACUGCUAAGAGUUCAAAUAUGUCCAGCUAAACUUUAUUCAAAAUCUAAAAAAAGCUUUAGCCAUUAGCUGGCCAGGAGUAGCUAAAACUAGCUUAAAAGUAAGCGAAGUCCAAAAUACCUCUAAGAUUUCUUAAAAAUACCCACUACCACAGCAUUAACUCCUUUCCCCGCAGCCCUGCCGAGCGCCGCCCGCCACCCAUCGACGCGCCGCCGCCCCUCCCAUCGGCGCACGACGGAAGUAGUAGAAAUCAAAACUUACUGCUACUAGCUGGCUACUACAUUGCUGUGCGCACAAGCUGCUGAUGGAGGACAGGAUCAGUUCAGUGGGAACUGCACAAUCAAACAUCGGAACAUGAAAGUUCUCCAAUUUGCCUCUCGUGGAACCGAUUUAAGUCUCCCCUGUGCUUGGUCUAGGCAUGAAAUCAGCACGUCAAAAAAAUCAAGCAGAAGCAAGAAACAUCGAAUCAAAGUGUCAUGCGUACUUCAAUUAAAAAUAAAGCCUACAGAGCUUGAGUAUGCACAACCUAAAAAUAUUUGACAAACAUUUCGCAUUGAAUAUAUUGUUCACUAAUACGGGAAAUCAAUGGCGAUGUGAAUGCUUGCUCAUAUACAUUGCCUUGGGAAAAAACCCACUAAAUAUAUUUCUUAUUAGGCUAUUUAUUAGUCAAACUUGACAAAGUUCGAAUUUUUUUUACGAAACACAGUAUAGACGCAAAUGCUCACAAACACGCACGCACACUCACUUUACUGACGUCUCGUUAUCGGUGUGUAUAUCGCUUACUAUUGAAUGAAUAGCGCCGGUUAAAUCCAGUGUAAUGCGAGAACUCGAACCUGAUGGGCAAGUUCCAUCAUAAGAAAUCUUAACAGCUGAGUUACACUCAGUUCGCGACAAAGUCCGAAUCUUCACACACAUAUGUGAAUGUUUUUCUUAUCAUUACAGCUUUAAUAAUCCCUUAUUUGCCACUAUGCAUGGAUCAAUAACAUAUAUAGGUAUGCGCACAUACGGUACUGGCACAUGAAAGAUCAAUAAGGAAUUGAAAAUUUUCAGUGAAAAAAAAUCCCUACUUAUAAUUUUGAGAAAAGGAUUCUACAGCUAAGAGAAAAGGAUUACAUGCUAAUGAAAAUGGUUGCUUAGCACACUGACCUGCAAGAUGAGCCAAAGGGACCAACAGGAGCUGCUGCCGAUGAGGAAGAGCGCUCCCAUCACCCAAUCGCUGCUUGACGGGGUAAGCAUGUACGAAUCAUGGAGAGAGAGCUUCAGCAGCUUUGGGCCUUUGAAGAAUGCAAUCGUGAUAGCUCCUCCGAUGCAGACUGCAGUGCCGAGGACCUUCGCAAUGCUAGCUACUUCUUUGAUGUUUACUCUUUCUUGCCUGUUGAUGAAUUAGAUGCAUGAAGCGAUAAUGACAGCGAUGCAACAUUUCAGAAUCUUACCAAAGAAACUGAACUCAACCUAUCAUGUACAGUAGCAGUUUUCUACAAAACUAUUAGCUACUUUUCUGUCAGCCAUCAAUUUUUUUUUCGCCAGGAAAGUACAGGUAGGAAAAUACGUUGAUAGAUUUUUGGAAGAAAAUUGGCAGAUUCUCCUGAUGUUACACAUGCUAUUUACUAUGUUUCAAUAUAUUGUUCUCGCAUGUUUCAGUCAUAUGUAACAUGGGAGAAUAAUAUUUGCAACAUCAAAAAAUAAUAUAUGUAACAUCAUAAAAUUUGAUAGAUUUUACCCUAAAAAUCUGUCGACAGAUAAACAGACACUGCUAGUUGUAUCUGAACUCGACUUUUCAAGACGUCUGCAAGAAGAGUUGGAUGAACGAACAUCAUGCAGCUUUAGGUGCCAACAAGGCUAGUGACAAGAGAUGGAAAUCAAACACAUUGCAUGAUCGUAAAAGACAAAAGAGCAGGCAUGCAUGUCAUGUGACGAGCUAGGUGAUAUACCAUCCCAUGCCGUUAUACAACGUGUUCGGCUGGCUGCUUUGCAGCGGAGCCAGCCAAACAACUACUUCAGAUAUGGUAAGAGGCUCUGCCUGCUACUGCACCAGCAUCCGAGCAGCAGCAGCCAGCCGAACACGCUGAUACUAAUGUAACACGCAACUAGAGAAGGAAAUUGACGUGUCUCGUGUUUGUUAGUGGCCUCACUUAAUCAUUGACACAUCUUCGAGGUCUGUAAGCAUCGAACGAUUAGCGAAAUUUCUAGCCGUCUAGGGCAUCUGGUCACUUUAUGCUCAACACUGGUAUUUUAUUUUUCAAAAAUGAAAUACAGCAGGCCUGUUUUCUGGGUACUCACCCAACGGCUACUGCCAUGGCGAAGGUGAUCGCCGGUAUCAAGUUCGUCAUGGUCGUGGCCAGCGAUGAGGUCCCUAAGUGCAGCCCUUGGUAGCACAGGUUCUGGUUCACCGUUGCUCUGUUGCACAAAAUGGAUACAUAGUUGUUGAUUGAAAACAGAGGAAGCAAAAUGUUGGCACGCUACCACUUCAUUUCCCAUGAGCAAGAAUUUGUACCCAAACAAAGCUGCCAUGAACACCAAGAAGAAGCCUUUCAUCCCAAGCCUCAUGUCCUUCAGCAUGCUCCUGACCAGUUCAGAUUCCAGAAAGAAUCACAACAAAGAUUACAACAGGCUGAAGCAGAGUGCGUGCGGGGUUAUAAGAAACGCUGGAGGAAAGAGGAGCAGCGUCACUGAUCGAUCAGAAUAUCAGAUCCUACCGGUUGGAGACGAUGGCGAUGGGAGCGAGGACGAGGGUGGCGACGGCCUGCCUGUAGACGACGAAGACCGUGGGGCUCAUGCCGCCGGCGAACGCCGCCUUGACCCACAGCGUCAUGGCCGCGAAGAUGCACUGCGUGGCAACCAUCGCCGCGCACGGCCUGUACCCCUCCACGACCGCGCGGAUGUGGCCGCCGGCCAUGUGUCCGGCUAGGCACCGGAGUGGACGGAGAGGGAGAGAGAAUUGCGAGCUCGGAAUCUACGGCACCGCGCGGAAGAGAGCUGUGUGUACUGACGAGCUCGCGCCUGUGCUCUGCUCCCUCACUGACUCGCGCUUGUGUACGCCUGGGAAGGGAGCAGCGGGCGAAUCCGGCUGCGGGCGGUCGGCGUUCGAUUGGCGGAUAGCCCAUAGCCACGCGCACCACGUCUUUGCAUCCGCCUGUUGGUGCGAGAAAUACAAAUGUUAUACUCCAUGCUCUCUAGCAAUUCUAAUAGAAUGUUUUAGGGUACGGUAUGCAAGAAUUUGUUCAUUUCAAAAUUUAUUUAUUCAUUAACUUUUAUCCAUUUUCUAACACAAUAUUCGUAUAUAGAUAUUUCUGAAUCUUUUUCAAAUUGCGGUGGAACCCAGUUACCAAUUAUUCUAUAUUGUUUGAGGUUUCCAUCUAUAUUCGUAGUGUUUCCCCUUACGCUGAACUUCCGUAUGUGUUCAACAAUCAACACGUACUGUAUUAGCUAAAACCUGGAGCUUUAGCUGUGUCAGCUCAUGUUGUAGCUCAUCUAUCAUUACUUCAUGAAUAUAUAAUUUAUCUUCCAAUUUAUAUCUUGUUAUUAUUUGUAAGAAAAACGUAUUUCCUCCACAAAUCCAUCUCUUUGAAAUUUCGUAAAAGGCUUGAUUACAUGUCCUCAGUUACACUUUUAGCUACUCUAAUGGCAUAUUAAUUCAUUUUAGCCUGCACUGCAAUGCCCAUUAUGCAAAAUGUCAUACCCAGUUUUAAGGAUAAAAUCAAGUGCUACCUAUAUGUAUGCCAGGAUCAAGUUUCAUAUAUAUAUAGUGACAUCAUAAGUGAAUAACAGUAACAGUAUCACGUAAAAAGAUUCAAAUAAAGACUUACGAAACCAUCAGAGAUACACAGCUUAAAUACUGGAAAUGGAGGCUCCAAACUUCACAAGCAAUCGACUGGGCGUUGUGUACGCCUAGAACUCAGCAUCAUCUUCGGAAUACUUCACACACCUUCUUCUUCUGAGCAGCAGUAAGCAAGGGUGAGUACACUUAUGGUUGGUACUCAGCAAGGCCACUAGAAAUAACCAGAAUAACAAUUUAAGUCCAUCUUCAAGUUUAAUUAAUCAUGUGAGGGUCCAGGCCGUUCUUGACCGUGAGCACGGCUGAUCAAUCAGUUUUACACUCUGCAGAGGUUGCACAUCUUUACCCACAAGUCGCGUAAAAGUUCAGAAGAACUUUGGACCCAACCAUGCGAUGCUAGCUAGGCAUCAUACCACACUUCCGAGGUGUGAUUGCAUAGGGACGCUACGAGGCCUUUACAAAGAUUCGCUAGUAAGUGGUAACCCGCUAAGGUUUUCGGAUCAGUAGCAGAGCAUAACAGUCCCCUAGUGGGUACAGUGUCUUAGCAAAGCCCAUUUCCUAAGAGAGCGAGUGCUAUACCCCAUCUGUCGCCGCCCUUCUUGCCCUUUCGGUAAGAUUACCCCAGACUAUAGUUUCUAAUUAUUCAGCCAAGACCAGAGCCAUUUAGUCUUGUGGUAGCACUGUUUUCCUAGGUGGUUCUCCAUGUUCCCAUUAACUUUAUCAUGAUAUUAUUAACAAAGCAUAGGUAGAAGGAUGGUUAGGGACACUUGCCUUUCUCCAACGAAAAGUUACUCUUACUGCUCUUCAGCUCUUGCUCUCUUCAAACUCUUACUCUUCAAAUCUUCCGAACAACAAAUCUUCUACUCGAAGCAAACACCGACACAAACAUACAAGCAAACAAAAAAAAGUACAACUAAGAACAAUACACUAAAACAAAAAGAAAAGCUUUAAAAGAGCGUACUAAAGGAUAGGGCUCGAUUCUAAGAUUACGCGAACGGAAGAGACGCUGAGAAUAGAGCUAUGAUUGAUAAGGCAAAACUGUCGAGAGAUUUUGGAUUAUAAAAGGAAAGACAAGAGCUAUACAAGCUUCAUUUAUUUUAGUUGAGAAAAACAAUGUAAAGAUAUUUUAGAGAAAUAUCCUUAGUUAGUAUUAAUCAAGUCAUAUUUAUAUUUUCAUAAGAAAAGGCGGUGUAAAGUUUAGUCCAAUUUUAUUUAUAAAUAUUUGAGUACAAUUUAUGCAAAUUAAAUAUUUAAUUUAAAAAUAAGAUACAUGUUGACAUCUAAGCGUAUAGCUUUACAUUUCGAGUUCAACUAAGUAGAUUAAAUUAAAAACACAUUUAUUUUUAUAUUAGUCAAAUUAAUAUUUAAUUAUGAAAACUCGAGAUAUAACCUAAUUGUCUUUUAUUUAGAAAAUAAUAUAAAGUAGGCAUUAAUCAAGUUAACAUUUAAUUAUGAAAAACGAUAUAUAACACUAAAUAGAUUUUAUUUAGAGAAGAACUCGUUUGUUAGGCAUUUAAUCAAUUUUAAUAUAAAUUUUAUUUUCAAAAAUAUGUGUGAAGGAAAAUAUUACCACUAACGUGUAAUUUAUGUCAUUAUGAAUCUAACGCAACUUGAACGGACAAAAAUAAAAUUAAAACGUAGAAUCUAUGGGUUAAACGAGUUGCAAGGGCCCAAACGCAAUUAACCGUACACCUCAAGGGUUAGCAAGGAAGAAUUGCAAGACACCAGGAAUAGUCUCAAAAUUUGAGUUUUCCUCAGGAGCCUAAUAGCAAAAUCACCAUCUCAUCUUCAACCUUCCAACGCACUCCAACUGGUAACACGAUGGCCGUCGGCCGUGGUCCAGGCCGGUCCUGCCGGCGGCGACGGCCGGGGCCGGGGUGGCUCGCGCGAGCGGCGGGUGACGGCGCCAUCAGGGAGGCCCGGCCGGCGGCUCCGGCGGCGCAGCGAGCAGGCGGCGAGCAGGAGUGACGGCCGGCGCGUGAGCCAUGGGCGGCGGUGGUGCGGCGCGAUGCGCAAGCAAGGAGGCAAUAGUGCGCGUGCGGCGACGGCACAAGCAAGCAGGAGGUGGCUGGGCGAGCAGGAUGAACGGACCAGGCGGCGGCCAUGGUUACGGACGGUUCAGUUGCGUACAUAAACAGAGAAAGAGAAACAUAGAGAGAGGAAGAUGGAAAGCUGGAAACGAAGUCCGAUCUCGCGAAUGAAUGCCAAAACGGAACGAUAACGACGAGACGAACGAGAUGGUGUGCUCACCUUCGGCCGAUGACUGAUGGUUUCGUCGGAUUUGCUCGCCGGAGUUUCGCCGGUAACCGAACUUUGACUUCAGAUCUACGGAGCUCGGAGAGUCAACUCACGAAAAUAAUUUUAGAUCUGAAAUUUUCGCGUCGAGACGAACGCGGUAAUAUAUAUAUAGACCGGGAAUAUUUUCGAGUUGACUUUUUAUUUUUAAAAUUUCUGAUUUUAUUUAUCUGCGUGAAAAUAAUUUCAGAAAUAGCCGGACUCAUUUUCUAAAGCAAGAAAAAUACCUAGAAAAUUCCAAAAAAUCUGAGAUAAUCUCAGAGAUGGAUUGGGACACAAAAAAUUCAAAUAAAAUAUUAAAGCUUGUGAAAAUGAUUCUAGAGCCUUCCAAAAAUUAGAUUUAACUUUAGAAAAAGGAGAAUAAUUUUCAGAAACAGCUGGAAAAUUCUCGAAAGGAUCUAGACAACGUCUAAAUGCAUUUUUAAAACUUUUUGCACUCAAGAAAUACCAAGAUGCAUCAGCAUGAAUGCACAGACAUAAAAUAUCAUUAUUUAAUUUAGAAAAAUGAACAAUUAGUUUGCUAUACUAAAUUUCCUGUAAAGAAAAAUAAAGGUGGGUAAAAUUUUAAAAUUAUGAGAAAAUUAUUGUUUAUUUAUUCUUUUUAUUCACGUCCUGAAAUUCGGAAAUUUCAGGGUGUGACAUAAAAAUUCCUCUAUUAAAAAAACUACGAGCACAAUAUGACCCUUUUACAAAAAUGUAAGGUGAAUCUUUAUCUUUAAAGACCGAAACCUGGCAGAAUUACGCUAAUUUCGUCGCUCCACGUCACGCUGACGUCGUAGCCAUCCGUUUUGAGCUCCUCUCAAUUCUCAGCCGUUCGAUCUCGUACGGACGGCACAACUUCUCUGGACUUGACCCGACGUAGCUAGGUGUGUCCCCUUUUGAAUUAGACAAGGGCUACUUCCACCGUGCGACUGCUCCACCGCCGGUUGCAGGGCUGGACGCCAAGCGCCGCGGCCUACGGUCUUGGCGGCUCGUAACAGGGCCAGGCAUGAGGAGUGCAGCCUGUACAACCGUACAGGGCCUCCAUUUCCUUAGGCCUCUAUUUUUUUCUACUCUACAAGCCUACAGCUCAUCAAACACAGCAAUAGCUGGUUCAAACCAGGCAUGACGCACUCUAGAAGGUCUGAGGUUGAGGCGUGAAUCAUUUUCUCAUGCAGCAGGUGCAGAUUAGGAGGCAACAGCCCAAGGUCAGGACGCUGGACUAUUGGAGUCUCGAACUUUGGAUGCGCUGCAGGCCAGAGUGCAGUGUGCACCUCAAGGCUCGGCCUUGCACAUCAAAACCGGGUUAAGGACUCAUGGAAAUCUUUUAUUCUUCAAUUCUACUUUCUAUCUUGCGCAUAUGAACAAUUAAUCUAUUAUAUUACUAGCUCUAAAUUCUUUAUUACUUCUUAUUACUUGACAUACAUCCUUUAAUAAUGUAAUUCAUCUUUUGUACACAUGUGUAUGAAUUGGUCUAGGGGUCUAUUGUUCCAAGACUGAAGCCAUGUUUUAUACAAUCCUCUAGAAAAUAUGAUUGCGGGCGUCAAAAUCGUAAAAAAGACAAAGAAUAGAGGAAUUAAUUCAAUUUCAUUGCUGCGUGAGUGUAAUAUAUUUUAGCUUAAACACUCGUAUUGCUCAUAUUUCUUGGACAAGAGGGGCCGUUUCAGAGUUUGGACAGGGCCCUGAAUUUUGCUGGCCCGACCCUGCUCGCUAAGGUCCACUGCUCACCGCCAUAGGACUCUAGCUUGAGGAGGUCCGCCUACCACCGCCACCAGCUUGGGAAGGUGUAGGGUUGGACAUGAAUGUCUGGAAAUCCGAAUUAUCCGAAUUCAUAUCCACUAAAAACACUAAUACGGAUAUCCGUAUUCAUAUUUGUUUUUAAUGUGAAUGUCAAAUGGAUGUAUCUGGAUUUGAUUUUUAGUAUUUUUCUCUAUCCGGUACCAUAUUCGUAUUCGAAAAAAAUAUGAAAUAUCCGACAUUAUCCGUAUCCGUAAAGAAUAAAGUACCAAUGAAGCCAUCUAAAACUUAUUUAUAUUACUAAAUACUAAUUACAAAUGAUGUUAACUUUAAUAUUACUAAUAAAAUAAUUAUUUACACCAUUUAAACUAUUAAAAAUUAUCUAUAUGACAAAUGACUAAUUAUGUUAACCUAAUAUUACUAGGGAUAUAUAAUGAUAAAUUUUAAUUAAAUUUAAUAUAACUAAUCAUAUUAAUUUAAAUACAUUUAUUAUCUAUUAAAUGAAUAAAUAAUAUUUAAAUGUAUUAAUGAACUUAUUUUUAUUAUUAAAUGAUAUAUAUUUAUGGAAAUACUUAUUUUUAUAUUUAUUUGAUAUAUUUAAGGAUCAUCUCCUUCAGCUUUCUCCUGAAUGAUUUGGCUUCCAUGAUUAGGUGGUUCUGAAGAAGUGAAAGUAGCCAGUGUUGCUGAUGAUCACUGGCCGCUCGGACCUUUUGGCCAUGAUGGCGAUGGGGCGAGGGCAAGGGUGGUGGCGAAGCCCUGCCUGUAGACGACGAAGACGAUCCCGGGAGAACGCCGCCUUGGCCCAGAGCGUCAAGGCCGCGUAGAUGCACUGCGUCGCCACCAUGGCCGCGCACGGCUUGCACCCCUCCGCGACCGCGCGGAUGCCACCGGCCAUGGCUGCUGCGUCCCGCGCGCCGGGCAGAAAUGGCUAGUACCUGAGAUGAAUAUCUCCUCAGCCGGCGCGACGAGCAACUAGUACUUAUCGGCCUGUUCCCUUUCGUGUAUGCCGUAUGGGCAUAGCACUACAAGUCUACAACUGCCCAGUGACCAAUUAGCUGUUAUCACACGUCUCUCUACUAUCAGACACCCCCGCCCAUACGAGGGCAUUUCCAAAAAUAUUAUAAACCAUGUGUCAACAAGCCGAGCUUAAUCCAGUAGCUCAAGCUCUUGACCUAGUUUAAAAGGUCGCCCUGAUAUUGAUCGGACCACACGGGCUGACAGGCGUCCUUUUUGUGAGCUAGGGAAGGUAUGCUAGGCUUGUGAUGUCAGCAGCUAGUAGUAGUAGGCCCAAACGCUACAGACCCAAACACGCCAUAGCACGCACGAAUGCCACAAAGCUGCUCUGGAGUGGACAGUCAACGUGGACGCCGCGGCGGUGGGCCGGUGGCGGGCGGCGAAGGAGCGGAUCUAGGAUCCGGGCUGGGGGCUGCAGCCCAGGUCCAUCCCAAGAUCGUCCGUAUGACUAUGUAGGCUAGAUCUCAGCUCAAGGCAAAUAAAAGGCACAAGAAGCUAGCGCUAGCCUAGUUCCCCUGCAGCAGCCCGGGCCUGGACCAUCUCUGGGUCCGCCCCUAAGCGGCUCGGCACAUUUUGAUAAGCAUGCAGGUCAAACGUGACCACCCAAACUCCAUGACAAAAAAUGGGAGUGCACCGCAGUGCACCAAUGGUACAAUCACCCCGAAUCUGCUGACGCAACCGUGUGGUGAUCCUUGAGACACGGCAUCUCUACUUCUCCACUGGACGUCUGGACCGGCGGCGUCCGCCAGCAGGAGCGGCUCGACGAUGCCGUUGCCGGCGUCGAGCAUCGAAUCCGACCGGGUCAUCGUCUUCUCCAGAUCGUCCGCUUGCUCCGGCUCCCUCCCUCUCUUGCCCCCUUCGCCCGCCUUGCCCCACAGCACGACGUACAACCCCGCGAUGACGGCGAACGCCCCCAACAAGCUCAAUAGACAAAUAUCAGAAAAGGAUCACAAAACUCCUGCAGGUUAAUAACUCUCUUCGAAGUGGACAGUCGUCCAAGCGCUGAAGCGCAACAGACCUGCCGACGUGCAGCUCUUCCCGGAGCACGACCGCCGCGAACACGGUGGUGAUGACGGUGCAGAGCGGGUUGAACAUGGCCGAGUAGAGCGGGCCCCUUACCGAGAUGCACCACGACUGCAGGUAGAACGUCACGCCCGACCCGAACACGCCCUGCGCACAACACAGUUCACGCCGCCACCGCGACAUCGAUCACCUCCAAGCUAGGUUACAUGGAAACGGCACAGGAAGCUAGCAAGUCAUGGCGAAGAAUGGUUACCGAGAAGAGGUAGCAGGAGAGCUCGAAGAGCGAGUGGGUCCGCCAGGCGGCCGGGUCCGGCUGGAGGAAGCAGCGCGUACUGCAGCGUGGACAGGAGGCACAUCCACGCCGACAGCGCCAGAGGGUCCACGUAGGACUUGCAGAUGGGCACCUGCAGGAUGAGCCAGAGCGACCAGCAGGAGCUGCUGCCCACGAGGAACAGCGCGCCCACCACACACCUGUUGCUUCCCGCCGGCAAGUGGAGAAGAACCUGCAGGUCGCCGAGCAGCUUCGGGCCCUUGAAGAAGGCCAUGGCCAUGGCGCCGCCGACGCAGACGCACGUGCCGAAUAUCUUGGCCAGGCUCCUCGGUCUCCUCGCUUCCACCUUCUCAAGGCUGUCGUGUGAAUCAGAAAGAGGGGCAUCACCAACGUUUUCCGGACGAAUUUAUAGCAUCAGAAACAAAGUUUCAGACAAAUCGAGACAAUACUGAUCUUAGCUAAGGUCCUGUUUGGAUACACCCUCCUAAAUAUUAGGAGUCCAUUUUUAGGACACUUUUAGGACUUGUGCAUCCAAAUAUGGGUCCUAGAAGUGCACUCAUAAACUUUAGGAGGGCUAUUUUCAUUAGGAGGGCCAAGGCAUCCUAAUGAAGGCCUGUUUGGAUACACCCUCAUAAACUUUAGGACACUCAUAAAGUUUAGGAGCUAGAAAUUGGUAGUCCUAAAAUUUAUGAGUGGGCUGUUUGGAUGGAAUCAUAAUCUUUAGGAUGUUAGAGGGGAAAUGACUUUUGUACCCCUAAUUACUCCACCCCUGCUCUGUUUUUAGCGCCAUGGAGAGAGAAGGGGAGGGGCAACAGGAGUAAAGGAUGGGUUGGGGACCACUUUUAGGAGAAAAAUGACCCAUUAUGAUGGUUUGGUCCUCCUAAUGAAAAUAGCACUCCUAAACAUUAUGAAUGCAAUUUUAUGACAUAUGUUUGGAUGCACAAGUCCUAAAAGUGGACUAAAAGUGAAGUUCUAAAGAUUAUGAGUGUGUAUCCAAACAGGCCCUGAGUCCUUUUUCUCCUAAAAGUGGUCCCCAAACCCCCCUUACCCCUAUUGCCCUCCCCAAGCAUUUAAUGACGUGAACAGUGCAGGAGCAUUUAGAGGAGUAAUUAGGGGUAAAAAAGUUAUUUUCCCUCUAACAUCCUAAAUAUUAGAAUUCCAUCCAAACAGUCCUCUCCUAAAUUUUAGGACUACCAAUUUCUAAAUCCUAAACUUUAGAACAAUCCUAAACUUUAGGAAUUUAUAUCCAAACAAGCCCUAAUAGAUCCUAUUUCUCCUAAAAGUGGUCCCCAAGUCCCCCUUUGCCCCUAUUGCCCUCGCAUGCAUUAAUGACAUGAACAGUGCAGGGGUAGUUUAGAGGAGUAAUUGGGGGGUAAAAAUGACAUUUUUCCGGUAAAGUCUUAAAGAUUAGUAGUCCAUCCAAACAGCCAUGUACUAAACUUUAGGACUAGCAAUUUGAGGGUACUAAACUUUAGUACACUACUAAUCUUUAGGAGUUUGUAUCAAACAGGGCCUAAAGUUUAGUAGUGUACACCCUCAAAUUCUAUUCCUAAAGUUUAGUACAUGGCUGUUUGGAUGGACUACUAAUCUUUAGGACGUUAGAGGGAAAAUGUCAUUUUUACCCCCUAUUACUCCUCUAAACUACCCUGCACUGUUCACGUCAUUAAUGCAUGAGAGGGCAAUAGGGGUAAAGGGGGACUUGGGGACCACUUUUAGGAGAAAUAGGAUCCAUUAGUACCCCUUAGCCCUCCUAAUGAAAAUGGCCCUCCUAAAGUUUAGGAGUGCACUUGUAGACCCAUGUUUGGAUGCACAAGUCCUAAAAGUGGACUCCUAAUCUUGAGGAGGGUGUAUCCAAACAGGACCUAAGGCCAAUCUCAGUGGAGGUUUCAUCAGGAGUUUCAUGAUCAUUAAAUAACAUUCCACAUCAGCAAUUUUACUGACGUGAUAAGGUCAUUAUGAGGAGAAAGAGGAGAGAAAGUUUCAUCAUAUGUGAGAGAAGUUUCAUCACCAUGAAACCUAGCAGGCAAAGUUACCAAGUUCUCAAUCUUGGUAACUGUGCUAUAAAACUAUGCAUUGAGACUGGCCUAAUCAGGCCAGCCUCAGUGGGUGUCAUGGAGGGUUUCAUGGGUAUUAAAUUCUAUGUCAUAUCAGCAGUUUUGCUGACUUGGCAAUCUAAUCACGAGGAGAAUGGAGAGGAGAGUUUCUCCCAUGAAACCCACUUAGCAUAGUUACAAGCCCAUGAAACCCAAUGAAAAUUGCACAGAGGAUGUUAUAGUUUCAUCGUAUGACACAUUUGAUCAUAACUCUAUGAAAAAUUAAAUGUUGUCGGUUGUCUAUGAAACUUUACACUGAAAGUGACAAUUUCAUUUUAUUGAAAAGAUGACACGGUAGUGCAGCGAGUCUCACAGAACCAGGGACAGAUCACUGAAACCAUGCAGCGAGUCUCACAGAACCAGGGACAGAUCUGAUUGAAGACGACGAUCCAUUGCAUGAGUGACAUAUUCUGGGAGCUAGUGAAUGUGUCAACAUAAUUUAACAUGCAUGCAAAUCAAAGUGUGCGUGAACCUACAAUCAUUUUGUCCCAACUGAAAACUACGAAGCAACAAGCUGGAAAGUGUUCUGCAUGGAACGAAGAAACAUUAUGUUUCUGGAUGCUGACAAAGAGUCAGACUGUCAAAGUAGUAUGCUUGCUGCAUGCAUGACCUGGAGCUCUGUUCCCAAUGAAUAACCGCACAGAAGGAAUGAUGUGAGUAUGUGACUAGACGCCAUGGAAGCUACUAGCGUAUCUUGUUAUGCCGGGACUCCAUGCCUCCCGUGACAUCUCCUGGUUUUGGACUCGACCUCCGACCUCGCAUAACAGAGAAACAGAUAGAUCGCCGAUUUGUUCAGUGUUCACUACUGCAAGUUUCCGAUUUUUUCUUUGGAGCUCAUGUAGAUUUCUUUGUUGGUUUUUGAGUCCUAAUUUGGAUUUUGGAACGAAUGAAUUGCACAGAAAUAAUCAGUUAAAAAGCGGCCUGAGAUCUAGUGAUAUAUUCCCAUCCAAGAAAGGGAGUGAUCUGAUCUGUUACCCCGGUAGCUAAGCAAGAUUAAGCAUCAUAUGUUCAUGCGGUCAUGUUUGGAACAGAUUAAAUCCAGCUUAUGACCAAAAUAAAUCGAAACUAGAAGCCAAACAAUAUAUUUUUUCAGCUUAUUUUUAGCCGCGCUUCUCCCCACCACCUCCAUUUGUACUGAAACGCAGAAGCCAGUUCAGAUCUGCUUCUCAAAUAAACAUUAUUUCAAUAUUUAUACAACUUAUUUAAGAAGCGCUUCUUCCUGCCGCGGUUUCGAACAAGACCAUAGGUCCAGGUGCGAAUGCAUUAUUGAGUGAGGUGGCACGUUGGUCCCGGCUCAAACAGGUGCAGGGCGUGCAGCCACAAGGAGCCAAACUAAUGCAGCAGUAUUAGACGACAGUGGAGGGCAGAUCAGAAACAGUGUCCUGCUAGUACUUCGCUAGUGCACUGAAACGGAUUCUCUGUCAGGUACUCACCCGACUGAUGCUGCCAUGACGAAGGUGAUGGCAGGAAUCAAGUUGGUCAUGGCCGUCGCCAUGGAUGACGAACCCAGAUGCACCCCUUGGUAGUACAGACACUGAUUCACCGUUGCCCUGUCGCAUGCGUAGAGCAAAAGAGAUCUAAAAUCUCAUAGAUAAGAAACCGAAAAGGUUCCACUAUGCUGGAAACGAAUAUUGGUGUUGUUGAUCGUCGAUGAUCGCGAUCUUCCAAGCGUGUGUUAUAUAGUUUUGCUAUUGCAUAUCCGAUAAGAGACGCGAUGAAGACCAACGACGAGAAUCCUACGAUUCCAAGGCCCGUCAUCGUCUCCGUCAUCUUCUUCCUGCAGAGCACCAGUCACGACCGACGAUCAAAAUCAUCAGUGAAACAUGUAUACUAUACAGGAAGAACUCUGGAAGUUCUAUGGGAACAGAUUUAAAGAUAUAUUUAACUGGAUCAUUAACUAACAGAUUUAAAGAUAUAUUUAACUGGAUCAUUAACUCCUAUGAGUUAAGGGAUCUUGUAUUGAACGGAGGGUUGUACACAUGGAGUAAUAAUCAUGUUGAUCCCACCUUAGAGAAACUGGAUAGGGUCUUGAUAAGCGAAGAUUGGGGAAAGGAAUUCCCCAUAACAAAUCUCAGGAAAAUUCCUACAUACAUGUCAGAUCACAACCCUAUGUUGUUGUGUACUGACCAAAAGAAAAUCAGGAAAACAAAGCAAUCUUGGAGACUUCCUGGAUCAAGCACAAAGACUACCUUCCUAGAAUUUAGAAGAUCUGAGGUGAAAGGGUGGUUGUUAAAAAUGUUGUAGAAAAAUGGUACAUUAAAGUCAACAGAGUCAAAAAGUUCUUGAAAGGCUGGGAUAUAAACUUGAGAGAUCAAAAUAGAAGAUACAAACAUAUUCUCCAAACUAAAUUAAUGGAAUUAGAAAAGAAAGAAGAAGAGGGCAUGCUGUCAAGAGAACUUCUAAAUAGGAAAAUUUUUAUCCAAACUGAACUGUCGAGAAUGCUACAAGAAGAGGAGCUAUAUUGGCACAAAAGAUCCAAUACUAAGUGGCUUCUAAAAGGAGACAAUAAUACUGACUUCUUUCACAGAGUUGCUAACGGAAAAAAAA